AACCCAUGAUGAGGGCACAAUUUCAACAUCUCCUUGAAGUGCUCCCAAGCUUCAUAGAUCAAUUAUACAUCUUUUUGAGAAAAACUAGUGAUUUGAUUUCUCAAUU